AUUUUUAGUCUUCAGCUGAACUACUGCCAGUGUGCUGCGCUGCAUGCUGGGACUGUACAGCCAGGAGGUACUGUGUUAAACUCUCUCACAUAAGGAUGUGCAGUGAGCAGGACUUCAUCUUCAAUCACCCAAAAGAAAAGUGAAGGAGAAAGCCCACUUUUGCCUGGUGAGCCUCAAAGUCUUAGAGGACACAACGACCAAUUCCAUCAGGAUUUUGUUUAAGGAAAAAAUGAGAUGAAUAGUAUUUAAUGUAAAAUAUCUAUCAACAUUUGUUUACAAAGACAAAAAACCUGGAAGCCAAUGUCCGGAACUGUUUUCUCCUGUCUCACUUCUUUCCCAGCAUGUUACUGAAGACACUGGAAAAAAGAGAAGGGCUGAAUCAGUUUGGAAAACUGUGGAUUCUUCUGAACACUUGGACACUGCUAGCUUCCCAUGUGUGGGAGGAAUAUUUUACUGCCCAUCAACCCACUGCUUGAACAAUUUAAUCAGGUUGUUAAAACAAUUUAACCCUGGAGAAGAUUAGCUCAGAAGAAGAUACCUUUUCUGCCUCAAAAGCUACACCCAUUGUCCCAUGAUCUCUCUCUCUCAGUCUCAUAGACAAAGGUGUAAUAAAAUGGAUCCUUGCCCACGUGAAAGAGCCUCC
rnacentral:lncRNA from 1 species